rnacentral:lncRNA from 1 species
CUUCUCGCACCAUAAUCCCUUUCUGUCAGCCCUCCGCCUUGGCUUUUUCGAUGCUUACUAUUUCCUUUCUUUCCUCCUUUCUUCUCUUCCCUCUGCCUUUUACUGCCGUCAGUUUCUUCUCUUUCUACAAAACCUAAGCCUUCCUUCCUGCUGGUAAAUCCAUCAUCUUCUUCGUCUCUCCGCUUUAAAAGCUUUCACAAAUUACUUCCCCUAAAUCUCAGGUUACGAUAAAAAGUUUUAGAUUUGAUCUGUUGCUGGUGAUUUAUUGUUAAAAGAAAUUUCUAGAAAUUUUAUGAGAAAGUUCUGAUCUGCUUUAUUCUUGGUUGGUGUUUUUCUUUUUUUUUAUAUAAAGAUUUUUGUGGUUUUGAAAAAGAUGAAUCUUUUAAAUUUUUAUUUAAUGUCAUCGUUUUUCUUCUGCGUCGCCGGUGACGAAUGGUAUAAUUGCUUUGUGAUUGUUAUAUUACUUUAUUGGGAUUUUAAUAUCUUAUGAUUAUUAAUAAUAAAUUUUGGGAUUUUAGCUUUUGUAGGAUGUUAUCAAUUGUGAAAUGAUUGAGUAUUAUAACAUUCCUGGCUGUUAUAUUCUGAGGUCAUAGGCAAUUUUAAUUUUGGAGAACUUGCAUGCAAGUAAGUUAUAGGAUAUCUAUACUCAUUGCAGUUUAAUUAGUAAAUAACAAGUGUUAAUUAAUUACGAUUAUGGAUGUCAUUCUUGAUCUCUGUGAAGAGAAAGAUCACAGUUAGGGUUUUGUUAUGGAGCAGGACUAUUUAUCAGGAAGCUUUAAUUUUGUUGAACUUAAUGCUUGGUUUGACAAGUUGACUUUGUGACAUGUGGAAAUCCACUUGUAUUUCAUGCACAUAACUAUGUUUUGUUGCUGGUUUGAAGACUCAACAUGGUAGAAUGCAUGGGAUCCAUUUCAUGGUUUUGUGCACUUGUUAAUAUCUUUAGAACAAGUGUUAAUAUGUUAAUACAGAUGUAGGCUCUUGCAUAAGCUUAUUUAUAAUAUUAUGUUCACUGUGUGAUCAUCAUGUAUUAAGAGUGUGUAAGGCUUGUUAAGUCUCUGUUUUGGUGCUCCAUAACAGAGCACAUAUUGAAUGAAAGACCAUCUUUUGUGUCUUUAUUUUCACAACAGAGUAUCAGAGAUUUGUUAAGUUCUUAAGGGACCUUACUACUGAAAGAAUCCAAAACACUUUCUCAACAGACCAACCGCAAGUUAGUUUGUCACCAUGACUUCAACUUCUAACACUGCCUUCAGUUAUCAAGGUCCACCGGUGUUUAAUGGAGAAAAUUAUGCAAUUUGGUCUGCCAAGAUGGAUUUUUAUCUUUGAGGUCUUAACCUUUGGGACGCAGUUGAAUUAGGACCUGAUGUUCCUACCUUGAAAGAAAAUGCAACAGCUGCUCAAAUGAAGAGAUUGCAAAACGCUAUCAUGCAUUGUCAUACAUCUAAAGAGCUGUUAAAGAUGCAAUGCUUGUGAGAAUAAUGGGGUGUAAAACAUCUAAGGAUGCUUGGAACAAACUUAGAGAUCAAUUCGAAGGUUCAAAAAGAACUAAAGAGAUUCAAAUUAUGAACUUAACCAGGGAGUUUGAGACCUUGGGAAUGAAGGAUUUAGAGAAAGUUAAAGAUUAUGUCAACAAGCUCAUGCGGGUGGUGAAUCAGAUUAGAUUAUUGGGAGAAGAUUUAUCUGAAAGACGAGUCGUUCAAAAGGCUCUUGUAUCUUUACCAGAGAGGUUUGAGUUAACAAUAGCCUCUCUAGAAGGAUCAAAAGAACUCUCUAAAUUAUCAUUCUCUGAUGUUGCUUAUGCUCUCCAAGCUGUAGAGCAAAGGAAAGUUAUAAGGAGUGACAGCAUCACCGAAAAUGCCCUAUUUGCAAGGAUGAAAGGGAAAACGGUGGGAGAGUCAAGCAUGAGGAAGGACUCAGAUGAACAAGAGGAAAAAGAGAAAAGGGGUGAAUAAAAACCAGCAGAAGAAAGGGAAAUGGCAACUCUGUUCUCAUUGUAAAAGAAAGGGUCAUGUUGAGCCCAACUGUUGGUUUAGACCCAAUGUAAGGUGCAAAAGUUGCAACCAGUUGGGACAUGCUCAGAGUGUAUGCAAGAAUAAGGCUGAGACUCAAGCUAAAGUACAAGAACCAGUGGAUAAAGCAGAUUUAGCAGAAAAAAAGUCUUAUUCAUGGUGCAAUCUAAUGAUGUAAAUGCCAUUGGUGCUAACCAAUGGCUCUUGGACAGUGGUUCUUUUAACCACAUGACCCCAAAUGAAACUUUGUUUACUGAACUUGAUAAUCAUUACCGUUCAAGAGUAAAGAUUGGCAAUGGUGUGUUCUUGGAAUCAACUAGAAAGGGGUUAGCAGUUAUACAAACUACAACGGGCUCCAAGUAUGUCUUAGAGGCUCUCUUGGUACUAGAAAUUACUCAGAAUUUGUUAAGUGUGGGUCAAAUGCUUGAGCAUGACUAUGUGUUGUUGUUCAAAGAUAAAUGUUGCACUAUUUAUGCUCCCAGUGGUGAUUAUUUGAUGAUAAUUCCCAUGAAGCAAAAAUGUUUUCCUGUAAAUCGGAAUGAGACUUGCUUGCAAAUUUGUGAAGUAAAGACAAGUUUGACAACCAUGUGGCAUAAAAGACUUAGCGACUAUAAUUAUGGAAAUUUGAAGCAGAUAACUAAUUUUGGUGCUGCAAAUAAUUUUCCAAGAAGGUUCUGGGCUACAGCUACCUCAACUACAAUUUAUUUGUUUAAUUUUAUUCUUGCUCGUGCAAGGACUAUUUCACUUUCUGAGGUAUGGUAUGGUAUGGUAUGAGACCAUCUGUUAAGCAUCUCCAAGUCUUUGAAAGUAUAUGUUAUGGAUGUAGACCAAACGAACAUCGAAAUAAGUUUCUUCGCAAGGUUCAAAUUGGAGUUCUGGCAGGCUAUAGUUUACAUUCAAAGGCUUACAAGAUAUAUUUGGUUUAUUCUGGUAAGAUAUCUAUCAGUACAAAUUUUGCAUCUGAUAAAAAUAGUGAAUGGAACUGGAACCAAAGUCAAGUUGAUGAAGAUGAGAUAGUUGAUUAAGCUUUUGUUAGAGGAGUAAGAUCGAUCCAGGACAUCUAUCAAAGGUGUCAAUUGGCUAUGACAGAGCUAAGUUCCUUUAACGAGAACUUUCUUAAUGAGCAUUGUGUCAAGUACCAAGCAUUGAUAAAUGCAGAAAAUCAAGGUGAGAUAGCUAUUAUUCACUGCAACAAAGGGGAGCAGAUUGUUGAUACAAUGACCAAUGUAAGGCAAAGUUCAAGUAUCAUACAUAAAAUUUGAAGUUUGUAAAUGCAAGCAUUAAGAGGGAAUGUUGAAGUUAAUGCUUUGUCUGACAAGUGGACUUUGUGACAUGUGGAAAUCCACUUGUAUUUCGUGCACAUAACUAUGUGUUGUUGCUAGUUUGAAGACUCAACGCGGUAGUAUACAGGGAUCCAUUCCAUGGUUGUGUGCACUUGUUAAUCUCUUUAGAACAAGUGUCAAUAUGUUAAUACGGAUGUAGGCUCAUGUAUAAGCUUAUUUAUAAUAAUAUUUUCACUGUGUAAUCAUCAUGUAUUAAAAGUGUGUAAGGCUUGUUAAGUCUCUGUUUUGGUGCUCCAUAACAGAGCACAUAUUGAAUGAAAGACCAUCUUUUGUGUCUUUAUUUUCACAACAAAUUUAUAUCCUUCUUUUGCCUCGAAGGUUUUUGUUUAGAUUUAGAAUAUUCUACUUUUGUUAAAUAAGUUCUAUCAACUUAGUCAUAAACACGUAAUUCGAAUAGAGAUCACAAAUCAUCAAUAAUAAAAAUCAGUUAAAAAAAACCUAAAACACA